UCUGUGUGCGGUGGUGUGUGCCUGUAGUCCCAGCUACUUGGGAGGCUGAGGUGGGAGGAUCACUUGAGUCCAGAAGUUCUGUGCUGUAGUCCGCUAUGCCGAUCGGGUGUCCGCCCUAAGUUUGGCAUCAGUAUGGUGACCUCCAGGGAGCAGGGGACCACCAGGUUGCCUAAGGAGGGGUGAACUGGCCCAGGUCAGAAACGGAGCAGGUCAAAACUCCUGUGCUGAACAGUAGUGGGAUCGUGCCUGUGGAUAGCCACUGCACUCCAGCCUGGGCAAUAUAGCGAGACCCCAUCUCUU
ensembl:misc_RNA Metazoa_SRP Metazoan signal recognition particle RNA